AGCGAACGCUGGCGGCAGGCUUAACACAUGCAAGUCGAACGCCCCGCAAGGGGAGUGGCAGACGGGUGAGUAACACGUGGGAACGUACCCUUUGGUUCGGAAUAACUUGGGGAACCUCAAGCUAAUACCGGACAAGCCCUUAUGGGGAAAGGUUUACUGCCGAAGGGUCGGCCCGCGUCUGAUUAGCUAGUUGGUGAGGUAAUGGCUCACCAAGGCGACGAUCAGUAGCUGGUCUGAGAGGAUGAUCAGCCACACUGGGACUGAGACACGGCCCAGACUCCUACGGGAGGCAGCAGUGGGGAAUAUUGGACAAUGGGGGCAACCCUGAUCCAGCCAUGCCGCGUGAGUGAUGAAGGCCUUAGGGUUGUAAAGCUCUUUUACCCGGGACGAUAAUGACUGUACCGGGAGAAUAAGCCCCGGCUAACUUCGUGCCAGCCGCCGCCGUAA
rnacentral:rRNA from 1 species